UACAGAGGUCUCAAGCGUUGUUCGGAUUUAUUGGGCGUAAAGGGUGCGUAGGCGGCGCGGUAAGUCGGGUGUGAAAUCUCGGAGCUUAACUCCGAAACUGCAUUCGAUACUGCCGUGCUUGAGGACUGGAGAGGAGACUGGAAUUUACGGUGUAGCGGUGAAAUGCGUAGAUAUCGUAAGGAAGACCAGUGGCGAAGGCGGGUCUCUGGACAGUUCCUGACGCUGAGGCACGAAGGUCAGGGGAGCAAAACGGGG
rnacentral:rRNA from 1 species